rnacentral:lncRNA from 1 species
ACCCUUUGCAUUUCUCUUGGGAAUUGCAUGUAGAACAGUAGUGGUGCUAUGUGAGCAAAUCAUGUUCAGCCAAAGCAGCGAACCUACUAUUUUGUGUGCAAUUUGGCUUCUUCCUUGAGAUUUGCUGGGACUGGGAUCACUAACAUGUCACACCGUUCUAAAUAUUAUGUUAUGAUCCAAAUUUAAGUAUAAAGAUAAAAGUUAACUUCUGAAGAAUCGGACCGGAGCUCUGACCGGUCACUGGGACCUAUAAUAAGUUGUAAAUCCCCGAUAUUUGUAAUUUUAUCUGAUAUAGUGAAGUUCCU